AGAGUUUGAUCCUGGCUCAGGAUGAACGCUGNCGNUCUGCUUAACACAUGCAAGUCGAACGAAUCCUUUCGGGGAUUAGUGGCGGACGGGUGAGUAACGCGUGAGAAUCUGCCAAAAGGACUGGGACAACCACUGGAAACGGUGGCUAAUACCAGAUGUGCCGCAACGUAAAAGAGGAAACUCGCCUUUUGAGGAGCUCGCGUCUGAUUAGCUAGUUGGUGAGGUAAAAGCUCACCAAGGCAACGAUCAGUAGCUGGUCUGAGAGGACGACCAGCCACACUGGGACUGAGACACGGCCCAGACUCCUACGGGAGGCAGCAGUGGGGAAUUUUCCGCAAUGGGCGAAAGCCUGACGGAGCAAGACCGCGUGAGGGAGGAAGGCUCUUGGGUUGUAAACCUCUUUUGUCAGGGAAGAACACAAUGACGGUACCUGAAGAAUCAGCAUCGGCUAACUCCGUGCCAGCAGCCGCGGUAAUACGGGGGAUGCAAGCGUUAUCCGGAAUUAUUGGGCGUAAAGCGUCCGCAGGUGGCUAAUCAAGUCUGCUGUCAAAGGUUGGGGCUUAACCCCAAAAAGGCAGUGGAAACUGAGAAGCUAGAGUGCAGUAGGGGUAGAGGGAAUUCCCGGUGUAGCGGUGAAAUGCGUAGAGAUCGGGAAGAACAUCGGUGGCGAAAGCGCUCUACUGGACUGCAACUGACACUCAGGGACGAAAGCUAGGGGAGCGAAUGGGAUUAGAUACCCCAGUAGUCC
rnacentral:rRNA from 1 species